UACGUAGGGUGCGAGCGUUAAUCGGAAUUACUGGGCGUAAAGCGUGCGCAGGCGGUUCGUCGUGUCCGAUGUGAAAGCCCCCGGGCUCAACCUGGGAAUGGCAUUGGAAACUGGCGGACUCGAGUGUGGCAGAGGGGGGUGGAAUUCCGCGUGUAGCAGUGAAAUGCGUAGAGAUGCGGAGGAACACCGAUGGCGAAGGCAGCCCCCUGGGCUAACACUGACGCUCAGGCACGAAAACGUGGGGAGCAAACAGG
rnacentral:rRNA from 1 species